UAGCGGCAGGCCUAACACAUGCAAGUCGAACGGUAACAGGAAAGAGCUUGCUUUUUUGCUGACGAGUGGCGCACGGGUGCGUAACGCGUAUACAAUCUACCUUUUACAGGGGGAUAGCCUUUAGAAAUGAAGAAUAAUACCCCAUAGUAAGUCAUUAUGGCAUCAUAGUGAUUUUAAAGUUUCGGCGGUAAAAGAUGAGUAUGCGUUCUAUUAGCUAGAUGGUGUGGUAACGGCACACCAUGGCAACGAUAGAUAGGGGCCCUGAGAGGGGGAUCCCCCACACUGGUACUGAGACACGGACCAGACUCCUACGGGAGGCAGCAGUGAGGAAUAUUGGACAAUGGGCGAGAGCCUGAUCCAGCCAUGCCGCGUGCAGGAAGACUGCCCUAUGGGUUGUAAACUGCUUUUAUAUAGGAAGAAACCUUUCCACGUGUGGAAAGCUGACGGUACUAUAAGAGUAAGGAUCGGCUAACUCCGUGCCAGCAGCCGCGGUAAUACGGAGGAUCCAAGCGUUAUCCGGAAUCAUUGGGUUUAAAGGGUCCGUAGGUGGAUAAUUAAGUCAGAGGUGAAAUCCUGCAGCUCAACUGUAGAAUUGCCUUUGAUACUGGUUAUCUUGAAUUAUUGUGAAGUGGUUAGAAUAUGUAGUGUAGCGGUGAAAUGCAUAGAUAUUACAUAGAAUACCAAUUGCGAAGGCAGAUCACUAACAAUAUAUUGACACUGAUGGACGAAAGCGUGGGGAGCGAACAGGAUUAGAUACCCUGGUAGUCCACGCCGUAAACGAUGGUCACUAGCUGUUCGAACUUCGGUUUGAGUGGCUAAGAGAAAUUGAUAAGUGACCCACCUGGGGAGUACGUUCGCAAGAAUGAAACUCAAAGGAAUUGACGGGGGCCCGCACA
rnacentral:rRNA from 1 species